AAUUUAAUGAAGCAGGCAAAGAGAAAAAAUACACACAACGCAACACUCAAAAUGAACUAGAAAUAAAAUCGCAAGGAAUUGAAUAAUAGUCAGUCAUCUAUAAACCACUAAAGUAACUCGUUGUAAUUUCACCUUAAAUCAUGAAGCUAACUAUUUUGAUCGUUUUGUUUUUUUGGAGUGAUUGCAUUUGGCAGUAAAUUUUCCAAAGAUAAUGUUAACUUCUACAUAAUACAAAGCGAACAUAGUACACAUAAAUUAAAAUACAAUGAAUCCCAGAAACUUGAAGAAAUAAAUUUUAAUGUUGAAAUUGAGUGCAUAGUUUUGAUCCAUGGUUGGGUAUCGGGACCAUGGUUUUUAAAAGACUUCAAACGUGCCUAUUUUAGUAAACCACAAAGAGUAAAUCUAAUCGGCAUUGGUUGGCCGGUGGGUUCUUUUGAUAACUACUAUAACUCCGUAGCUCAUACGAAAAUAGUCGGGGACGCGAUUGCCAGUUUUAUCGCAUCAGCUAUUGAAAAUGGACUACUAAAAAUGAAAAAAAAAAAUACAAAUAAUAGGUCACAGCCUUGGUGCAUAUGUGGCCGGAUUUACAGGCAAAUAUUUGCAAGAUAGUGGAUUAAAAUUGCCUUGGAUAACAGCGUUAGAUCCAGCCGGCCCGUGUUUCAAUAACAAGGCAUGUGAAAGAAUCUGCGAUACGGAUGCAGAAUGGGUCGAAAACAUCCAUACAAAUGGGGGUAGCUUCGGUAUGUUCGAAUUCAUCGGACACUCUGAUUUCUACAUAAAUGGUGAAAGUUCCAGUUCCCAUGCCUAGACUGGAUAUGUUCACAUUUAAAAGCAGUUAAUUUCUAUCUACGCAUUAUCAAUAUGGAAGAACGGAUUGCUGGAUACCCGUGCGCAAGUAUGGAGGAAUUGAAAGCAAAAGAACAUUGCAAAAAUAACACAGUACGGUAUUAUUUUGGCACAAAGCCACAACCAAGAUAUCACGGUAUCGUUUACAUGCAUGGAAUAGGCGAAACAGAAGAAGAAAUAGAGAAUGAAAUUUAAAAAAUAUCAGAAAAAAAAAUUACCACGUUUGAAGUCUUUUAAAAACCAUGGUACUGAUACCCACCCAUGAAAACUACGCACUCAAUUUCAACAUUAAAAUUUAUUUCUUCAAGUUUCUGGGAUUCAUUGUAUUUUAAUUUAUGUGUAUUAUGUUCGCUUUGUUUUAUGUAGAAGUUUACAUUAUCUUUGAAAAAAUUUACUGCCAAAUGCAAUCACUG